rnacentral:misc_RNA from 1 species
GAUAAAGAACGCAGCGAAAUGCGAUACGUAGUGUGAAUUGCAGAAUUCAGUGAAUCAUCGAAUCUUUGAACGCACAUUGCACCUCUCGGUAUUCCGGGAGGUAUGCCUGUUCGAGCGUCAUUUGUACCCUCAAGCUCUGCUUGGUGUUGGGUGUUUGUUCCGCCUCUGUGUGUGAACUCGCCUCAAAACAAUUGGCAGCCGGCGUACUUGUUUCGGAGCGCAGCACAUUUUGCGAUCCAGAUCAACGUACAGCGGCAUCCAAGAAGCCUUAUUUAACGCUCUUGACCUCGGAUCAGGUAGGGAUACCCGCUGAACUUAAGCAUAUCAUAAGCGGAGGA